UCUUUCUUAAGGGCACAGCUGCAUGUGCAACCGCAGAACAAGUUCUGGGCACUGCACAUUAAGAAGGAUGGAGGCCUUCAAGAGGCAGCUGAACAGCCACCUGUCAGGUAAGGCCCAGACCCAGGUUGAUCAGUGAGACUAUCCCCUACUGCGGUGAUGAUGCGGCUGUUUCUUUUCCAGAUCCCCUUGCCAACCCUUCCACUCCCACUAACCUGCCAGCUGAGGCUAUGGGUGACCAUACUUGAAUUUAGAUGCAGAGACUGUGUUCCUCAAACAAGCAUCUUCAAGCUCAGUUGCUGGCGCUGGAGGGGCAUGGACUGGGAUCUGACGUGCAGCAGUCUGAAGUUACUUGCUCUGUUGAUAUUUUACAGACUUGGUUAAGAGGAUCACCGUUGAGGAGCAGCAUUGAGGAGCUGCCUCGGAGGUCUCCAGUGAUGUAAUGGAAGAAGAAUACAGGGAAGAAAGGUUCUGAACCUGAUGACAUCUAUCAAGGCAACUGAUGGAUCUUCCUUCCUUUGGCAAGUGAUUGCAAUCCACCCUCCGGCUCCCAGGAGCCUGCAACCUUAAACAACCAGAAUGCCUGCAUUGCUCUGUUUCUCACUGGCAUCGUCACUCUGUAGGGGGCAGAGGGGGCCUCCUGUUCACUCCCUGGGUCUGACUGAGGGGUUGCAGCUGUGUCCUGAACAUUCUCCAGUGGCAGGAGGUCUUUGGCGAUUCUGCUUGUUCCCUCUCCUGACUCUUCUGUGGCACUCCACUCCUCCUCUUCCUCUGAGGACUCAUCCGAUGGAGGCAUGACAGGUGGCACAAUCCAUACAGGGUGAAAGGCUUUUUAAAUGCACUGAUGCCCUGCUUGAUGAAGAAACUCUCAGUGAAGCAGGAAAAGUUGUCAAGGCCUGGGACUCGAGGGCCUGCCAAAUCUUACCUAAAACAAUACCCCAAGACAAUUUUGGAACUUCCUGUCAGAAAGAUGUUCAGGGAUUUCAAAGUGAGGUGAAAACACACACCAGUUUUGGUAAGACAAGCAAAUGGUAUUGGUGUGUGGGGGGGGUUGCACAUCCCCUCAGUCAAGCUUCCCUCCUCCCCUCCUUAUCCUUGCCCAUGAAGUGUUAAUAUUCAUCACCCCCACAUAUACGCUAACAAGUGGGUGUGCUGAUAUUGGUGGCAAUUAAAGAGUCUUGCUCCCACCAGCUCCUUAGGAAAGAUUUAAAACACCAUCCU